AGGUAGCGUUAUUGUUUUAUAUUCAAUCUUUUGAAGAUUUGCUGGUAGAAUUAUUUCAUGGUGACUUAUACAACAAGGCACACGUGGUCUAUUGUUUCUGAAGGCAGCCGAACCCUAGUUCUAUUUUCUAAAGGAAUAAAAUAACUUUUAGAAAAUAUAACAUUUGUUUCAAAAAUAUAUCUCGUGAAGACUGCUACAGAAAAUAUAAAAGAUUUAUUUCAAAUAAAUCUUUGUGCUUCAAGAAGAUUAGAAGAUUUAAUUUUAAAAUAUAUUUACAACAAAUAUAUUUAUGGGAGGAAUAUUUGAUGCAAAGAAAGAUUUGGUAAAAAUAUAUAUUUUGCUUCUAGAAGAUUUCUUGGAGCUGAAGCAUUGAAAGCCCACGAGGCUCUGCUAUUUAAAGGGUGCUGCUAACCCUGUUUUAUACACCGAAACUUGAAGCUAAAAUAGAAUAUCAAAGAUGUAGUCUUUUAGGGUUUUGUGUCUUUGAGCCACUCUCUAGGAGAGUUGGUGUAAAGUGAACCACUCGGGUUGUGAGAUGGUCACUAUGUCCUCACUCAGAAACCUGUAGGUAAUGAGUUGAGUAUUGUACUUGGAAGAAGCUUUUAAGCAACUCCAAAUUGUGAACUUAGUCGUUGACUAGGUAUUUGUCAUGGAAGUUUGUCUUCUAGGUUGUUCAGAAUUGUUCCGUUGAUCCAAUCGCUGUCUGUGAUUGAAGAGGGAUUGAGGAGGGCCUCAUACCUAAGUGAGACUUAGGUAGAAAGUAUAGCACGGGUAGUGAUUAAGUGAAGAGUUGUAAAUGGGGGAAUUUAGCUCUGAAUUGAUACUAUUUAGUGGACUUUAUCCCUGGCUUUGUAUUCCCCCAGAGUAGCCUGUUGUGCUGAACUGGGUUAACAAUUCUGUGUGUUGUUUAUGCUUUUCAGUAUCUGUUUUUAACAUCGUGGACAACACUUGUCUACCGUGUACCAGAAUUUCAAUUUGUCUCACGGUACGAAUGUGAUACAAGUUACCUAACUAACUAACUUGUUUCUUAUUCAACAAGCUAUUUAACUAACGUUGAAAUAGAACACCUAAUAAACUUCAAAGGCUUUAUUAACAAGUCUACAAGUUGCAUUUAUGUCUUGCAAAGUUGAAGCUCAAGCGUCUCCUUAUUCACUUGAUCUAUUAGGAAAUGAAAUCUUGUUUCUCAAAAUCAGAAACAAACAUCAGAAACAUGUUUCUCAAAAUCAAGGCCUAAAUCAAGAUUAGAAGCAUAACAUGUUAUGUUUCAGUGAUCAGAAGCAAUAUUCAAAUUGCAAUGACUGGUUUAUGAAAGUUGCGCCUCACUAAAAUUGUCACAAAAGUUAAAGAUAACGACUAUUUGAUGACUCAAGAUUCUCUGCUAUCAACAAGUCUCUAGCAGCAUCAAUAUUUACAUCUAAAGUAGCCAACUUUGCUUUCAGCCUCUCCUUUUCCAACUCUAGAGUUACCACAUUAUGGUUUCAUCCUUGGAUACAAUGCAUAUCUAUAACCUGGAAAAAAAACAACAAAAUACAACAUUAAUUCCAAGUUCCAACACAAUAAUAUUAAUAAUUAUAUAUAUUCAUUACUCUAAAUUGUUAUUAAAAAAAAAUUAUACGUCACGAGGAAAUGACCAAUCUGCUGGAUCAGACUUUGCAUGUAUAGUCUUGAAAAUGAUUCUUGUUGCAUAGACUAGUAUAGAGUCACCCUAAUGUUUAUUCAAUGAAUUUUUUUUAACCAAAUAAACUCAAUUCAUAUCAUUAACUAAUAAAUGUUCUAGGGAAUAAUCUCAAAUUUAUGGAAAUUAGCUCAAGGAUAUGAGCAACCAAAUUCGUUUGUUUAUCGGUUCUACAAAGAUCGGAAUGAAGUUCUUAGUGAAGAAGUUCAGAAUGGACAUGAAAAUUAAACUUAGAAUGACAAAAGGUUCCAACAUAACAAAGUGAAAAACAUCAUAUUGGACUUGAGAUUGCAGAUCAUAUCAAGAUAUUGAAGUUAGUAAUGUAGUCUUGAAGACAACUUUUUCAUUCAAUAAAAUUAUAGAGAUUUUUCUCAAAUUUGAUGGAUUCUAAAUUAUUUACUCUUUCU
rnacentral:lncRNA from 1 species